UGCAUAUCAAUAAGCGGAGGAAAAGAAACCAACAGGGAUUGCCUUAGUAGCGGCGAGUGAAGCGGCAAAAGCUCAAAUUUGAAAUCUGGCACUUUCAGUGUCCGAGUUGUAAUUUGAAGAAGGUAUCUUUGGGUCUGGCUCUUGUCUAUGUUUCUUGGAACAGAACGUCACAGAGGGUGAGAAUCCCGUGCGAUGAGAUGUCCCAGACCUAUGUAAAGUUCCUUCGAAGAGUCGAGUUGUUUGGGAAUGCAGCUCUAAGUGGGUGGUAAAUUCCAUCUAAAGCUAAAUAUUGGCGAGAGACCGAUAGCGAACAAGUACAGUGAUGGAAAGAUGAAAAGAACUUUGAAAAGAGAGUGAAAAAGUACGUGAAAUUGUUGAAAGGGAAGGGCUUGAGAUCAGACUUGGUAUUUUGUAUGUUACUCUCUCGGGGGUGGCCUCUACAGUUUACCGGGCCAGCAUCAGUUUGGGCGGUAGGACAAUUGCAAAGAAAUGUGGCACUGCCUCGGUAGUGUGUUAUAGUGCUUUGUCGAUACUGCCAGCCUAGACUGAGGACUGCGGCUUCGGCCUAGGAUGUGGCAUAAUGUGCUAUUUC
rnacentral:rRNA from 1 species